GACAGAGGCCUCAAGCGUUAGGCGGAAUCACUGGGCUUAAAGCGUGUGUAGGCGGGCCGUUAAGUGUCUUGUGAAAUCCCCCGGCUCAACCGGGGGAUUGCUGGGCAUACUGGCGGUCUUGAGCGAUCUAGGGGCAGAUGGAACAAGUGGUGGAGCGGUGAAAUGCGUAGAUAUCACUUGGAACGCCAAAGGUGAAGACAGUCUGCUGGGGAUCUGCUGACGCUGAGACACGAAAGCCAGGGGAGCGAACGGG
rnacentral:rRNA from 1 species